UUGAACCAGUUGAACAGGGGUUCGGCAAAACAGCCAAGUUUUGGUACCGGUCUUGUGCACAUGCCGUGCACGUGCCGGUGUUGCUGCGUGUCUCCACGUGUCUCGUGUCCACGUAUCUGCAUACUCGACGACCACAACACAGGCAAGUGCUCGCCGCUUAAGUGCGCUUAUAGUUGAACAGAGGUUCGGCUAUUUCCUCAGAACGCAGUGUCACAGGGAAUAUUUUGUCGAAGUUAAUUUCUAAUACUCUUGCCAAACAAAUAAGUUGGAGUGGAUCGGAAAGCGAUAAAUUGAAAUUUUGUGACACCAAAUUAUGUGAAGUUGUAUUUGGUGCAGUUAAAUUGCGUUUUCCUUCGAGUUUUUUAACUGACACUGAGGCAAAAAUUAAGCGUUGGUUCCAAACUGCCAAUGGAAGAAAAGCUGAUUCUCAAAGUUAUUCUAAAGUAUAACUUGUUUGUAAGACUCAUUCCCACUAAGUGCGACGCGUAAUAUGUUCAGUAAAAUUACGCAUAGAUUUUAUUUUUUAUGUUAGAUGGUAAUGUAGGGCUUAUAUAAAACAUUGAAGCCCAAUUAGUCAAACAUUGUGAUUAUUACACAUAAUUAUA